CCUACGGGUGGCAGCAGUGAGGAAUAUUGGUCAAUGGCCGCAACGCUGAACCAGCCAUGCCGCGUGAAGGUCAGUGCCCUUUGGGCGUUAAACUUCUUUUGUGCGGGAGCAAUAAUGGUCACGUGUGGCCAGACGAGAGUACCGUACGAAUAAGCAUCGGCUAAAUCCGUGCCAGCAGCCGCGGUAAUACGGGGGAUGCAAGCGUUAUCCGGAUUUAUUGGGGUUAAAGGGUGCGUAGGCUGGGAGGUAAGUCAGCGGUGAAAUGCCCCCGCUCAACGGGGUGAAGUGCCAUUGAUACUGCCUGGCUGGAAUGCGGAUGCCGUAGGAGGAAUGUGUGGUGUAGCGGUGAAAUGCAUAGAUAUCACACAGAACACCGAUUGCGAAGGCAUCUCACGAAUCCGCGAUUGACGCUGAUGCACGAAAGCGUGGGUAUCAAACAGGAUUAGAUACCCUAGUAGUC
rnacentral:rRNA from 1 species